UACGUAGGGGGCAAGCGUUGUCCGGAAUCAUUGGGCGUAAAGCGUCGUGUAGGCGGUUCGAUAAGUCUGCUGUGAAAGUCCAGGGCUCAACCCUGGAAAGCCGGUGGAUACUGUCGGACUAGAGUACGGAAGAGGCGAGUGGAAUUCCCGGUGUAGCGGUGAAAUGCGCAGAUAUCGGGAGGAACACCAAUUGCGAAGGCAGCUCGCUGGGACGUCACUGACGCUGAGACGCGAAAGCGUGGGGAGCAAACAGGG
rnacentral:rRNA from 1 species